UCCGAAUUGGUGUAGUGGCUAACAUUUGACGCUCUCAUGUCCCUGUCAUCUGGGAUAAGUGGUACCGUCAAGCCCGGGGUUCGAUUCCCCGAUUCGGAG